GUGCUCGCUUAAGCAGCACAUAUACUGAAAUUGGAGUGAUACAGAGAAGAUUAGCAUGGCCCCUGCAUGAGGAUGAUACACAAAUACAUGAAGUGUUACAUAUUUUU